AGGCAGAAGAGGAAGAGCAGGAGAGAGUGGAUGUUUUAUUUGCGGAGGACAAGAUCACUGGGCAAGGGAAUGCCCUAAGAAACACGACAAUGAAAGUGCAUGACCAUCAACAUCUCAGGUCGAGGAGGUCAGUCCUGAAGGGAUGGCUGACCUUGAGGAUCUUCAGGCAUGUUGCACAGCAGAAGAAAAUGCAGCAAGGAGAAAAGCAGGAUGUGUGGUAAGAAAUGGGGUUUGGUACAGCCCCAAUGACAAACCAUGCUUGCCAAAUAAAUUGUUUCCUUACUAUAAUAAGUU